CAACAGCUAGUGUAUAGCUCGGUUGGUAUAUUUAAUAGAAAGAUAUUUGUAAAUAUGGUAAAUAAACUCAUCAUAAAUACCAGGAUUGAAAUUUUACAUUCACGACAGACGGGUAUUUCGUCUACAAAAGACUCAUCAGUGACGCUCGACUAAAAAAUGUUAAUAAGGCCAAAUGAAACUGACCAUUUAACUUAAAAAAUGGCGAAGUGCAAGCAUUUUUUUAGUUUUUAAACGCUAUCCUCUUGACCACAUAAUGUGUUUUCAUCAAAAUUGGAAAUGAUAAUAUUUUAUAAAGAAAAAUCUUUACCUACGUCGCAUUAUAUAUACUAGUAUACUAACA
rnacentral:lncRNA from 1 species